AUCCAGCUGACGAGUCCCAAAUAAGAGAAAACGCGCAUCCUGGAU
rfam:Schistosoma mansoni, Puerto Rico, WGS project CABG01000000 data, contig: 0010